rnacentral:rRNA from 1 species
AGGACUUGACAUGAUAUUGACCGGUAUAGAGAUAUACCUUUCUCUUCGGAGACAGUAUUACAGGUGGUGCAUGGUUGUCGUCAGCUCGUGUCGUGAGAUGUUGGGUUAAGUCCCGCAACGAGCGCAACCCUUAUCUUUAGUUGCCAGCACGUAAUGGUGGGAACUCUAAAGAGACUGCCGUCGAUAAGACGGAGGAAGGUGGGGAUGACGUCAAAUCAUCAUGCCCUUUAUGUCCUGGGCUACACACGUGCUACAAUGGCUGACACAAAGAGACGCAAAACAGCGAUGUCAAGCAAAUCUCAUAAAGUCAGUCCCAGUUCGGAUUGUAGGCUGCAACUCGCCUACAUGAAGUCGGAGUUGCUAGUAAUCGCAGAUCAGAAUGCUGCGGUGAAUGCGUUCCCGGGUC